rnacentral:rRNA from 1 species
UACGUAGGGUGCGAGCGUUGUCCGGAAUUACUGGGCGUAAAGAGCUCGUAGGUGGUUUGUCGCGUUGUUCGUGAAAACCGGGGGCUUAACCCUCGGCGUGCGGGCGAUACGGGCAGACUUGAGUACUGCAGGGGAGACUGGAAUUCCUGGUGUAGCGGUGGAAUGCGCAGAUAUCAGGAGGAACGCCGGUGGCGAAGGCGGGUCUCUGGGCAGUAACUGACGCUGAGGAGCGAAAGCGUGGGGAGCGAACAGG